rnacentral:rRNA from 1 species
AGUGAACGCUGGCGGUAGGCCUAACACAUGCAAGUCGAACGGCAGCACAGUAAGAGCUUGCUCUUACGGGUGGCGAGUGGCGGACGGGUGAGGAAUACAUCGGAAUCUACUUUUUCGUGGGGGAUAACGUAGGGAAACUUACGCUAAUACCGCAUACGACCUACGGGUGAAAGCAGGGGAUCUUCGGACCUUGCGCGAUUGAAUGAGCCGAUGUCGGAUUAGCUAGUUGGCGGGGUAAAGGCCCACCAAGGCGACGAUCCGUAGCUGGUCUGAGAGGAUGAUCAGCCACACUGGAACUGAGACACGGUCCAGACUCCUACGGGAGGCAGCAGUGGGGAAUAUUGGACAAUGGGCGCAAGCCUGAUCCAGCCAUACCGCGCGGGUGAAGAAGGCCUUCGGGUUGUAAAGCCCUUUUGUUGGGAAAGAAAAGUAGCAGGUUAAUACCCCGCUGUUCUGACGGUACCCAAAGAAUAAGCACCGGCUAACUUCGUG